AUUGAACGCUGGCGGCAUGCUUUACACAUGCAAGUCGAACGGUAACAGGGUGCUUGCACCGCUGACGAGUGGCGAACGGGUGAGUAAUGCGUCGGAACGUGCCGAGUAGUGGGGGAUAACGCAGCGAAAGUUGUGCUAAUACCGCAUACGUACUGAGGUAGAAAGUGGGGGACCUUCGGGCCUCACGCUAUUCGAGCGGCCGACGUCUGAUUAGCUAGUAGGUGAGGUAAAGGCUCACCUAGGCGACGAUCAGUAGCGGGUCUGAGAGGAUGAUCCGCCACACUGGGACUGAGACACGGCCCAGACUCCAACGGGAGGCAGCAGUGGUGAAUUUUGGACAAUGGGCGAAAGCCUGAUCCAGCCAUGCCGCGUGUCUGAAGAAGGCCUUCGGGUUGUAAAGGACUUUUGUCAGGGAGGAAAUCCCUAGUGCUAAUAACACUGGGGGAUGACAGUACCUGAAGAAUAAGCACCGGCUAACUACGCGCCAGCCGCCGCAGUAA
rnacentral:rRNA from 1 species